GAUGAACGCUAGCGGGAGGCCUAACACAUGCAAGCCGAGCGGUAUUGUUUCUUCGGAAAUGAGAGAGCGGCGUACGGGUGCGUAACACGUGUGCAACCUGCCUUUAUCUGGGGGAUAGCCUUUCGAAAGGAAGAUUAAUACUCCAUAAUAUAUUGAACGGCAUCGUUUAAUAUUUAAAGCUCCGGCGGAUAGAGAUGGGCACGCGCAAGAUUAGCUAGUUGGUGAGGUAACGGCUCACCAAGGCGAUGAUCUUUAGGGGGCCUGAGAGGGUGAUCCCCCACACUGGUACUGAGACACGGACCAGACUCCUACGGGAGGCAGCAGUGAGGAAUAUUGGUCAAUGGGUGCAAGCCUGAACCAGCCAUCCCGCGUGAAGGACGACUGCCCUAUGGGUUGUAAACUCCUUUUGUAUAGGGAUAAACCUACCCUCGAGAGGGUAGCUGAAGGUACUAUACGAAUAAGCACCGGCUAACUCCGUG
rnacentral:rRNA from 1 species